ACUCAAUAGAUACCCGGGUAGUCCACGCCCUAAACGAUGUCGACUGGGUGUUGGGGAAGCGAUUCCCUAGUACCGUAGCUAAACGCGUGAAAGUCGACCGCCUGGGGAGUACGGCCGCAAGGUUAAAACUCAAAGGAAUUGACGGGGACCCGCACAAGCGGUGGAUGAUGUGGAUUAAUUCGAUGCAACGCGAACAACCUCACCUACCCUUGACAUGUCUGGGAGCCUGCUGAGAGGCGGGUGUGCCCGAAAGGGAACCGGAACACAGGUGCUGCAUGGCUGUCGUCAGCUCGUGUCGUGAGAUGUUGGGUUAAGUCCCGCAACGAGCGCAACCCUUGUCCCUAGUUGCUACGCAAGGGCACUCUAGGGAGACUGCCGGUGACAAACCGGAGGAAGGUGGGGAUGACGUCAAGUCCUCAUGGCCCUUAUGGGUAGGGCUUCACACGUCAUACAAUGGCCGGUACAGAGGGUUGCCAAGCCGCGAGGUGGAGCCAAUCCCAGAAACGCCGGUCGUAGUCCGGAUUGCAGUCUGCAACUCG
rnacentral:rRNA from 1 species